AUGACUGAGAGCUGUUCUUCAUGACAACAGAACCCACAACAACCAUGACUUUUAUCACCAUCUUCAUCUGGACACUUGUCUUCUACAUACAAGAAUCCAGAGGACAGUACAUUGUGACACAGACUCCGGGAGUGAAAGCUGUUGUCCCAGAACAGACAGUCUCUCUGAACUGUAAAACCAGCAGUAAUGUUUACAACAAUAACUUCCUAGCCUGGUACCAACAGAAACCUGGAGGAGCUCCUAAACUCCUUAUUUACUAUGCUACAACACUUCAGUCUGGGACUCCAUCUAGAUUCAGUGGCAGUGGAUCUGGGAGUGACUUCACUCUGACCAUCAGCGAAGUCAAGGUUGAAGAUGCAGGAGAUUACUACUGUCAGAGUUACCACAGUGGUAAUGUGUUCACACAGUGAUACAGAGCCGUACAAAAACCUCCCUCAGUCAGACUGUACAGUGACUGUACUGAUACAGCUGGGACCUACUGCAGGUGCUGAGGGGAGGAGAUGAUCCAGUACAAUGACACGUGACAUGUGUAGUAGAGCUGAACAACAAUAGAGUCAAACUAGAGCUAUGUCUAGAAGACCUUACAUCAUAAUUGAUCACUAAAUUCUUCUCCUGAACAUUAA